GCCACCGUGGUGUAACGGUAAAACCUCUGACCCGGCUUGUCAGAAGACGUGGGUUUCAAUCCCACCAGUGGCG